GACGAACGCUGGCGGCGUGCUUAACACAUGCAAGUCGUACGGUAAGGCCCUUUCGGGGGUACACGAGUGGCGAACGGGUGAGUAACACGUGAGUAACCUGCCCACAACUUUGGGAUAACGCUAGGAAACUGGUGCUAAUACUGGAUAUGUGCUCCUGCUGCAUGGUGGGGGUUGGAAAGCUCCGGCGGUUGUGGAUGGACUCGCGGCCUAUCAGCUUGUUGGUGGGGUAGUGGCCUACCAAGGCGGCGACUGGUAGCCGGCCUGAGAGGGUGACCGGCCACAUUGGGACUGGGAUACGGCCCAGACUCCUACGGGAGGCAGCAGUGGGGAAUAUUGCAAAAUGGGCGCAAGCCUGAUGCAGCAACGCCGCGUGCGGGAUGACGGCCUUCGGGUUGUAAACCGCUUUCAGCAGGGACGAAGCUUUUUGUGACGGUACCUGCAGAAGAAGCACCGGCUAACUACGUG
rnacentral:rRNA from 1 species